rnacentral:lncRNA from 1 species
UGGAGCUCCAGUUGUGCGCCGGCGAUGUGAACGCCCAACAUAAAAAACACCUCCGAUCCUCAGUAGCACUACAAACACUUCCAUGUUCGGCUUGUAAUCAUCUGGAUGUCAAAACUUCUCACUGACAUCAUGAUUCAACACCAACGAAGACUUCUUCAACAUGAAUGUGACAUAGCUAGACUUAAAACAAAAGGUGUGAGUCGAUUUGAAUCCUUCCCCAUACCUUUCUCAUUUUCCCAUUAUUUCAACUUACAAAUUUUCCUCUCAACAGAAUGAAUCCCAAAGGAGUUGGUACCACUGUUAAAGAGGAAAAAGUGUUCAGUUGUCAAAACAGGUAUUGAGAAAUCUGUUAUUGAAAGUAUCCUAUGCUUCCUCAGUUGUUUGUUGUAUGUUUAGCUUCCUUGAUUCAGCUCGCCUGUUGUUUACUCCUGUAGCUUGUACCCAGUAUUUUGAACUCUUUUUAUUCUUAGAUAUGGCAUGCUGUUUUUUUCCAAUUGAAUAAUUGUUUUUGCUUGCUGUGGAAAUUCUUGCAUAAUAUAAAAUUGGUGUAUAUGUGUGCCUGCAAAAUCAAAAGCAUAAUUAGUGAAAAAAUCUGCUAAAUAUGUUCCCCUCCCGAUAUGUAUGCACCACCUCCACCUCCCUAUUCAUCAUCAGGUCCUUUAUAUGGCUUUUAUCUCGAGUUAUCAACCAAGGGACCUCCCAUAUUCCAUUUAUAACUUUUUGAGCCAUUAAUGAAUCUGUUUCAAUAAUCAAAGGUACUAGAUUGUGUUGUAAGCAAUAGUCUAUACCAAUUCUAAUCGCCUUAACUUCGUCAGCUUCAAUCACAGAGACCUCCUCUAGUAACCUAGUUUCAGCAUAUAUCAUCUCCCCUUCUUCAUUCCUGGUACAGAAGACUAUUGAUCCAGACCCAAACCUCACUGAACCAUCCCUGUUCUUAUUCUUAUAUUAUUAUUAAAUAAAUUGUAUUUAGCAAAUAAAUUUCACUCAAAGAAGUUGCCUUAUAAAUCUCAUUUUGUCAAAUGAGCUUUUAUAAAUGGAAAAAUCACCCCCCCCCCCAAUAUAUAUUUAAGGGGAAAUAUUACUGAUUUUAAAUCUACUUUUAAAAUAUUAUUGUUUAUAACAUUUUAAUUGCGGGUUAUAACAGAUCACUUUUUAUUUAUAAAUCAAUUUAAUUUCACUUUAUUAAAUAAUUAGUCUUCUAUAAUUAAAUUUUUAUUAUUAAGUGAUAUAAAUAAAGAAUCAAUCAUAAUUAUCUCUUACACAUUUUUAGGGAUUUUACCUUGAUGCUUGUUCUUUUUUUACUUCUUUUUUUAUUGUCUUCUACAAUUAUAUUUUUAUUAUUAAGUGAUAUAAAUAAAGAAUCAAUCAUAAUUAUCUCUUACACAUUUUUAGGGAUUUUACCUUGAUGCUUGUUCUUUUUUUACUUCUUUUUUUAUUGUCUUCUACAAUUAUAUUUUUAUUAUUAAGUGAUAUAAAUAAAGAAUCAAUCAUAAUUAUCUCUUACACAUUUUUAGGGAUUUUACCUUGAUGCUUGUUCUUUUUUUACUUCUUUUUUUAUUGUCUUCUACAAUUAUAUUUUUAUUAUUAAGUGAUAUAAAUAAAGAAUCAAUCAUAAUUAUCUCUUACACAUUUUUAGGGAUUUUACCUUGAUGCUUGUUCUUUUUUUACUUCUUUUUUUAUUGUCUUCUACAAUUAUAUUUUUAUUAUUAAGUGAUAUAAAUAAAGAAUCAAUCAUAAUUAUCUCUUACACAUUUUUAGGGAUUUUACCUUGAUGCUUGUUCUUUUUUUACUUCUUUUUUUAUUGUCUUCUACAAUUAUAUUUUUAUUAUUAAGUGAUAUAAAUAAAGAAUCAACCAUAGAAAAAUAUUUUCUCUUUCACCUGCUCUCUCAUCUCUUGUAGAAACUGUUUCUACAUCUCAAUAUCACCCGAAAAUCUUCAUUCUACAAUCAAAAGAAAGGCCAAAUUCACUAUAAUAAGAAUUAAGUUUUUAGGAUUUUUGAUAAAACAUGUCGAUUAAACUUGAGCAUACUCCUAGAAAGAACCUCAUAUUAGUAAAAGUGAGUUCUACUGUUGAAAUCAAGGCUCCGACCUUUAACAUAUUGACUCAAACGCCGUUGCCAAACAAGAAUGCAAGUCCGACAAGAAAAGUUGUUACCUUUCAAAGAAGAAACAAAUUCCGGGAAAGGAGAAGAAAAGUGAAACAAAGAACAUGCUUUGGAUACCAACAAUUAUCCUACACCAAAACCACGAAAAUCAAAUUUGAAAUAGUUGAUUGCAGCUUAGACUUUUAAUAGUUAUAGGUCUUUUUUAAUUUUUGGAUGAAAUAUAUUUGUUUUUGCUACAGUUUUUUACAAUAAUACAAUAUGCAGUGUUUUACAUUGUCAUAUUUAUUCUUUUAGUAAGUGCUCCAGUUAGAUACCAACUUUGUACAUCUUUAUUUUAAAUUUGUGAAAAAUUUCAAGUUAGAUACCAAGUGUAUACAAUUUGGAUAUCAGCAUUGGCUAGAUUUUUAUUGGACUUUAGUAUUAAAAACACCUCAUAAACAUAAUACACUAUAGUUGUAUACAUUGUUACAAUUAACUAGUUUUGUCAAAAAAAUGAAUUACAUAUUGUUUCGUAUAAUUUCGGGAUACCAGCUCUAUACAAACUGCAUACAAAUUGGAUACAACAUUAACUAGUUUUAGUUUGGAUAUCAGUUUGAAACCAAAUGAACACCAAUUAAAAUCACAUGAAAUAGUUUUAUGUUGGCUUACAUUGUUUCUCAUUGAUCUCCAAGUUGAAAAAUUAAGAGUGGCAUUAAAUUGGUAUUCAAUUUGUAUAUAAUUGGUAUCCAUUUUGUAAUAUAUAUAAUUGGUAUUUUUAACUUGAAAAUUUAAGACAAAAAACUAAAAACUAAAAGAUGUAUGAAGUUGGUAUCCACCUUGUAUAAAUAUUGUAAAAUGAAUUUGAAAAUGUAAAAUAGUGACCAUUAUAUAUUGUAUCCACCUCAAUUACAUCUUGUUUUAUGUCCUUUUUUUUCAAGUGGGACACCAACUGAAUACCAAAUGAAUAUCAAUUGUAAAUUACAUUAAUUAGUAUCAAUGAAAAUUCAGUUGCAUACCAAAUGUACACCAAUUGCAUACCGGCAAUACUUAAUAAACUACUCACCAUUUAUUUGAAAAAUAAUGAGUACAUUGUCACAAUUAAAACAAAACAUAAGUUUAAAACACAAAAUAAAAUAAAACAUGAUUUUGUCACAACUAUAAAUUAUGAUUUUUUUGGUGCAGGGUAAUUUGAACAUGUCCUCCUGUUGUGGCCCUCUCGAUGACAUGUAUUGCAUGUAACUUUGGACCUUUUGAAUUUCACAUCAGCAAAACCCUUUCAGCGUUCAAGUUACGGUCUUCCUACAGUUCUUUUUGAACAAGGCGGCAACAACUUAGGCUCAAACACAUAACUUGGUAUCCCACGUACUCUCACAUGGUAGAGGUUCAAUAGGGAUCGCAUAUACAUCUUCAAAAUUCUUCAAGCUAUAAAAGGGAGAGCAAUAAUUUGUUUCAUGCAGUCUUCUAUACCUAAGAACUGGCAUUGCAUGUCUGCAAGGUAUCUUAUCAUUUUGUACAUAUUUGCUUGUUCCAUCAAAAAUUCACUGUGUCGAUAUUACAUGAUACAAAGUAAAAAUACAUAUGUUAUACCAAUAUACAAAUUUCAGAC